rnacentral:rRNA from 1 species
GGGUGCGUAACACGUAUGCAACCUACCUAUAACUGGGGAAUAGCCCGAAGAAAUUCGGAUUAAUACCCUAUAAUAUUUAGUCAUCGCAUGAUGAUUAUCUUAAAACUCCGGUGGUUAUAGAUGGGCAUGCGGCCUAUUAGUUUGUUGGUGAGGUAAUGGCUCACCAAGACUACGAUAGGUAGGGGGUCUGAGAGGAUGAUCCCCCACACUGGUACUGAGACACGGACCAGACUCC